rnacentral:lncRNA from 1 species
GAAGCAUGACUGCUCAGGUCCCCAGAUGACUUGGGCACUUGCUUUGCUGAUUCAAGCACCAGCUCCUGCGGUCUCCCACCAGCCCUUUCUGCAGACAGAUUGACGAUGAUGGACAUAAACAUCGGCAAGAAGCGCUAGGCAGAAGGAUGGGUCUCCUUCUUGGGAACAACUCUGUUGAUGGCUGCAGUAAGCCCGAGAACACUCCGGGAACAGUGGCAUCACUUGGCUGGAUGGUGGCCCCACCUGCCUCUCCUCUGUCUGUUGUGUGAGUCCACAAUAAUGUUUGCAGAAUCCCUGGAGGCCAGCUUUGAGUCAUGUGUGAUGCACAGAGAAGAUGUGUAUCUACUGUUUUCAGACCUUACAUUGACCGCUUUGUGGUAUAAGAUGAAUUCAGAGGACCUCCAUCAUGCCUUGCUAACCUCUGUGGAGGUAAUAAAGGAUCAACUGAGUCACAUGCUCUAGAGCCACCAAGAAUAGCCAUUCAGCUAAGUCUGACACAUCAAGGACCGCUGGCGCAGUCAUGUUAUGGGGAGUGAG